rnacentral:rRNA from 1 species
GCGGGAAGAGCUCAAAUUUUAAAUCUGGUAGCCUUCGGUUGCCCGAGUUGUAAUCUAGAGAAGUGUUUUCCGUGCCGGCCCAUGUACAAGUCCCUUGGAACAGGGCGUCAUAGAGGGUGAGAAUCCCGUCCUUGACAUGGACCCCCGGUGCUUUGUGAUACACUUUCAACGAGUCGAGUUGUUUGGGAAUGCAGCUCAAAAUGGGUGGUGAAUUCCAUCUAAAGCUAAAUAUUGGCGAGAGACCGAUAGCGAACAAGUACCGUGAGGGAAAGAUGAAAAGCACUUUGGAAAGAGAGUUAAACAGUACGUGAAAUUGUUGAAAGGGAAACGAUUGAAGUCAGUCAUGCUCUUUGGUAUUUAUAUCAUUGAGUGGGGUCAACAUCAGUUUUGAUCGAUGGAUAAAGGCACUAGGAAGGUAGCACUCUCGGGUGAACUUAUAGCCUAGCGUCAUAUACAUUGAUUGGGACUGAGGAACGCAGCAUGCCUUUAUGGCCGGGAUUCGUCCACGUACAUGCUUAGGAUGUUGACAUAAUGGCUUUAAACGACCCGUCUUGAACACCG